GUGUUCCUUCAAGGCCAAAGUAGCUGAGCUGAAGGAACUGACUUAGAGAUCUUUUACAGUUCAGCUACUUUGACCUUAAAUUUGAAAUU